GCCAGCCUGGUAUGGUGGUUUGAGCGCUGGACUAGUACUCUGGAGACCAGGGUUCGAAUCCCCACUUGGUCA